GGUUCCAUGGCCGAGAGGUUAGGCAACGGUCUGCAAAACCGUUCACAGCAGUUCGAAUCUGCUUGGGACCU
rnacentral:tRNA from 1 species